GACGUAGGUGGCGAACGUUAUCCGGAAUUACUGGGCGUAAAGGGCGCGUAGGCGGUCCUGUAAGUCUUGUGUGAAAUCCCUCGGCUUAACUGAGGAACUGCACGAGAUACUGCGAGACUUGAGUUCGGGAGAGGAAAGCGGAAUUCCGGGUGUAGCGGUGAAAUGCGUAGAUAUCCGGAGGAACACCGGUGGCGAAGGCGGCUUUCUGGACCGACACUGACGCUGAGGCGCGAAAGCUAGGGGAGCAAACGGG
rnacentral:rRNA from 1 species